rnacentral:rRNA from 1 species
CCUACGGGAGGCAGCAGUGGGGAAUAUUGCGCAAUGGGCGAAAGCCUGACGCAGCGACGCCGCGUGAGGGAUGAAGGUCUUCGGAUCGUAAACCUCUGUCAGCAGGGAAGAACGGUCACUGUGCUAAUCAGCAGUGACUUGACGGUUCCUGCACAGGAAGCACCGGCUAACUCCGUGCCAGCAGCCGCGGUAAUACGGCGGGUGCGAGCGUUAACCGGAAUUACUGGGCGUAAAGCGCUCGUAGGCGGUAUGUCAAGUCAAGGGUGAAAUCUCCGAGCUCAACGUGGGAACUGCCUUUGAAACUGGGGAACUGGAGUGUAGGAGAGGAUAGUGGAAUUCCAGGUGUAGGAGUGAAAUCCGUAGAUAUCUGGAGGAACAUCAGUGGCGAAGGCGACUAUCUGGCACAUAACUGACGCUGAGGAGCGAAAGCGUGGGUAGCAAACAGGAUUAGAUACCCGAGUAGUC